CAGGCCUUCUUUUUUUAAAAAAAAAAAAAUUUAAAACCCCUUUUUUUAUUUUGUGUUUCCAGCCCCCAUUUUGAAAAGAAAAAACAGAGAGUUCCUUGGCUCUCUCUCCUUCAUUUUCCCUUUGGCUAGGAUUUAUAUCCAUUAUUGCCGCCGCCAUGGAGCCUCCGUAGAUGGUGGUCGGGGUUGCGCGAAUGGAUCUUUUGACCCCGAUUUUAGGGAGCCCGAAGGCCUUAUUUUCCUAGCCCGAAAAUAUGAAAGGAGAGACCCCCAUUUUCCUUUUUGAGAGCCGAUUUCAACGAUAGAGUAGGGCUCCGAUGUGGUGGCUCCGAGGUUCGGGCAAGUGGAGCAAAUGAGGGUGGAUGGCCAACUAUGGAGUGGGUUAUGGUGGCAGACAGUAGGGAGGCAUACCUAGGAAAUUUUUUUUUUGGGGUAUUGGACUAGGAUUAGGUAUUAAGUUGGGCCAAAAUUGGGCCUCAACACAUGAAAUUUAACUUGAAUAUAUUACUAAUUUAGUUUUGAGAGACAUUGAGGAAUCAUAUAAUGAUUUAACUUUUUUUUUCCUGUUUUUAAUCUAUUAUUUGAUUUUGUUGAA